AAUGUUGCCAAUCCAAGCUACCCUUUGAAAGUCAGGGAAUAACCUACAGCUGUGUGGAAAAGCCUUUUCUGUCUACAAAAUACAAGGAGUCUGAGGGGCAAAUGGUCAUGAAACUAGAAAAUCUGCAAUUUUCCCUCAGAAUUGAAAAUUCUGCUGUUCAUCAGACUAUAUUCUUCCAAGCCAGAGUGAGAUGAGGAAUCUUCACCAACACCUGCAGAGACACAUUCUAUUCCUGAAUGGAAGGAGGUGUCCGCUGCAACACAGGAAGGAGAGGAAUCUCCAUGCAUAAGGAUGAAUGUAUCAUGGUUUUGGUGAAGCUGGUGGUAGAAGUAACAAAUCCACCUCACUGUUAGAGUCAUCACCUGCAAGGACACAGUGGGGAAAAGUGACAAAGACAUGGUUUCUACAAUAAAGCAAGACUACCCCAAUGAAAAACUUACCUUCAGAGAAUGGCCCUUUGCUAACAGGUAGGUGAAAAGGCUCUUUGUCUGGAGAUUCUUGUUUCAGAGAGUAACUGGAAUCAUUCACUCCCAAAACCAUUCCCGAGAUAUCAUCUGAGGAGGAGAAAAUAAAA